rnacentral:misc_RNA from 1 species
UAAACUCAACCCCUCCAGCUUUAUGUUGUGACUGGGGCUUGGAUGUGGAGGUGUUUGCGGGCCCGUUUAGUCAGGUCGGCUCCUCUGAAAUGCAUUAGCGGAACCGUUUGCGAUCCGUCAGAGGUGUGAUAAUUAUCUACGCCAGUGGGUCGCUCUCUGUCUCGUUCAGCUGCCAACCGUCCGGGAGGACAAACUUAUUAACGAAC